AAACAAUUUUGGGCAAGGUUGUUUCAGUAAAAAAAACAAAAAAAAAACUUGUUUAUAUUUUCUCAAUAGUCUAAUUUGUCUUUAUUUAUCAACGUGCCAUUUCCCAUAAUCAAUUUGUUUCAUGAAUGUAGCCACUGCUUCGAAGCAUGCCAUUUUAUAUGCACAAUUCUGGAUUGUACAAACCUCAAGCAAAGCUUGUAAGUUGCAUGCCAGCAGGCAAUUUAUCCUCUGUGGUGCAGUGGAUCGCUGGAGGGCAACCAUGUUUCUUCCCCCAAUGUUUCUUGAUGAAGGUCAUAGCCAUCCCUGCAGCCUUGCAUGGGAUUGAAUGAAUUGUCUGUUGAUUGAAGGGCUUUGAGGCCAUUUCUAAUAUGGCCUUCUUACACACAUUCUUCCCUGGCUUUCUGUUCCGUUACCUCAAAACCAUAUCCUCAUUUGCACUCAGCAACACUCAGCUGUCCUCGUAUGCCUCUUCAGACAUUUAAAAAACGGUCAAAGACUAUUGCUCAUCAAAGCUUCUAAGCUCUUUAGCUAAGGGAUACAAUUGUUAGCCCGCAUUUCUCUUUUUCUUUUCAUCCCUCUCAAUUCUUUUCUCUAAGGUCUCUCAAUAUUCUCCAAAUGUCUCAUUGUCUUCUCCUACUCAACCAGGUCAAUUCCUCAAUGGCAGCUAUUGCUCAUUUGGAAGAGAGGAUUGCGGCUGGCAGCUGGUUCCAGGAAGGGGCCCACAAUGGAGGGCCCAUCCGUCCAUUCCCCAAAGCCUCAGAAGCAGCUGUCCAUCCCCAGGGGCCUUGUUGGCCAUCGACAGUCAGCCCAAAGGUCAGCGAGGAUCAGCCCAGGUGCGAAGCCCACUUUUCUUCUACCCACUACGGAACGCCCCUUGCAUGGUCAAGUUCUGGGUGUGUGGAUCUUCAAAUGGAAUGCUAUCGCUCUGGAUUAUAGAGAACAGC
rnacentral:lncRNA from 1 species